CAGAAAAUAGUUUAAGUAAAAAUACUAGUUUUGGGGACUAAAGAUGAGCGUGUGGUGGCUUUUUUUUGU
rnacentral:tRNA from 1 species